CCUACGGGUGGCAGCAGUGGGGAAUAUUGGGCAAAGGGCGCAAGCCUGACCCAGCAAAGCCGCGUGAAGGAAGAAGGCCUUCGGGUUGUAAACUUCUUUUAAGAGGGAAGAGCAGAAGACGGUACCUCUUGAAUAAGCCACGGCAAACUAAGUGCCAGCAGCCGCGGGAAUACGUAGGUGGCAAGCGUUGUCCGGAUUUACUGGGUGAAAGGGGCGUGCAGCCGGGAAGCCAAGUCAGUGGUGAAAUCCCGGGGCUAAACCGCGUAACUGCGUUGAAAACGGUUUUUUUGAGUACCGGAGAGGUCAGCGGAAUUCCUUGUGUAGCGGUGAAAUGCAUAGAUAUAAGGAAGAACACCAGUGGCGAAGGCGGAUGACUGGACGGCAACUGACGGUGAGGCGCGAAAGCGUGGGGAGCAAACAGGAUUAGAUACCCCUGUAGUC
rnacentral:rRNA from 1 species